CAACCCUCGGGACCCCGUUCGCGGGACCCGGCGUUGGGGAUCAGCCCGAAGCCCUCGCGGCAGGCGGCUGGCCCCUAAACCUAGUGGCGGUCCUCCCGGCGACCUCCUCUGCGCAGUAGUUUAAUCGCCUCGCAGCUGGAACGCGGGAAGGCCACGCCGUAAAACACCCAACUUUUCACAA
rnacentral:misc_RNA from 1 species